UGGCUGCUGACAUCACAGUAGGGCAGCUGGUGACAUCAUCAUAACAGACAUGAUACGUAGCCAGAUGAACAGAAAAAUCUCUCAUUUGCUCACUAGAGUUUAGCAGAGACACAUGUCAGAGCCCAUUGCCCAUUGCUGUAGUUUUCUAGUGACUUUAUCGUCUUUUUCCAUUGUCAUAAAAUGAAGUAAACAAAGAAAAAAUAAUUUAGUGGAGAAAGGAGAAGAUGGAAGAGAGCUGAACGGAGACCAGAACAGUGGAAACCGUGUCCAGGAGCCGCCCAGUACAACUAAGGUACAGAGAAAGAAAAGGUUAUUACAUUCCUGCUAAAUAUCUGGGCCUGAAUGACCUAAAAGAGAAAGAAAACUUCCAGCAAAGAAGAGAGAAGUGUAAGUGGCCUUCAAGGACCCUGCUACAUCCAUCUGAUGGGCAGCACAGUAAACAAAGAAAAAAGAAUUUAGUGGAGAAAGGAGAAGAUGGAAGAGAGCUGAACGGAGACCAGAACAGUGGAAACCGUGUCCAGGAGCCGCCCAGUACAACUAAGGUACAGAGAAAGAAAAGGUUAUUACAUUCCUGCUAAAUAUCUGGGCCUGAAUGACCUAAAAGAGAAAGAAAACUUCCAGCAAAGAAGAGAGAAGUGUAAGUGGCCUUCAAGGACCCUGCUACAUCCAUCUGAUGGGCAGCACAGAUACGUGAAUGGGGAGGACUAUGUCAGAAUCAGUGUAUUGCGAUGAUGACCAGCUUUUUUUUAAUGUCAAUAAAAGGUUUAAUGAGG